rnacentral:rRNA from 1 species
UAACACAUCUAUUAACAUUCAUAAUGCUAUGAUACAAGGAUGUAACUAAACGAGUAUUUUAAAACAAAAUUCAACCAUAGAUACCCGCAAGGAUAUACCUACACCUUUAAAUUUCAGAAGUGAUAUACCCACCUACCUUUUGCAUAAUGUAAUUGCAAGAAAAACCAAUCUAAAAUUGUUUCCCGAAAAGUGGAGAGCUACUAUAAACAUUAACCCUUAAUGUAACACUAUUAAAACACAGUUUAUAGUAGCAGCGAAAUACCUAUCGAGCCACUUGAUAGCUGGCUGCUCCUAAAAGAUAUAUAAGUGUCUUCUUACAAUAUAGACUAAAUUACUCCGUUGUAAGGAAAACUCUAAGAGGGACAAGCCCCUUAGAACCAUUAGAAAUAAUAAAAUAACAACAUGUCAAAAAGGCUUAAAAACAGCCAUAACAUAUCCGUCACAGGAAAUGAAACUAAAGAUCUUAAAAUAAAACAUAAAAUUCUACCCACCAAGGAACCUAAAAGAACAACUUAAUCUUUAACGAACUGGCAACUAUUAGUAUCUUAACAAAGCACUUAAUAAGUCAACCAAUAAACAAAACAACUCCUUAAAAUUUAAUUUAGCCUAACUUAUUCAUUGAUAAUGAAUUCGGCAAAAAUUUUCUUUGCCUGUUUAUCAAAAACAUCGUCUUUUGACACCCACACCUAUAAAAGAUACUGCCUGCCCCAUGAUUUUUUAAUUAAAUGGCCGCGUUAGCGUGAGCGUGCUAAGGUAGCGUAAUAAACAGCUCUCUAAUUAGGAGCCAGUGAAAGGCCAAACGAAGAAAAACUUUAUCAUCAAUGACAAGAAAACUUUUCCUCUAAGUGAAAAGACUUAGAUAAAAGAAAAAGACAAAAAGACCCCGCGGAACUUCCCUUACAGCUUUAUACUUAAAUUAAACUUAUGCUUAUAGCUAAUUGGUUGGUUGGGGCAACCUUGGAGCACACAAAACCUCCAUUCACUCCAAAAAACUAUACAAAACUUAAUAUGGAACAUACUCGCAGUUACCCCGGGGAUAACAGCGUAAUUCAACUUAAGAGUACGAAUCGAAAGUUGAGUUUGCGACCUCGAUGUUGGCUUAGGGAAAAGCAAUUUGGCGCAGCCGCUAAAUCCGCAAUGCUAGUCUGUUCGACUACUAACCCCCUACACGAGCUGAGUUAAGACCGGCGAGAGCUAGGUUGGAUUCUAUCUUUUCUUUCCAAAUUAAAUUCUUUAUUGUACGAAAGGACCCAAAGAAGCACACAAAAGUGCCUUAAAUAAAUCAACACAACAAUUUAACAAAAAUCUCAACGAGU